rnacentral:rRNA from 1 species
CAGUCGCCACGGGAAUACGGAGGGGGCUAGCGUUGUUCGGAUUUACUGGGCGUAAAGGGCGCGUAGGCGGACUGAUAAGUCAGGGGUGAAAUCCCAAGGCUCAACCUUGGAACUGCCUUUGAUACUGUUUGUCUUGAGUUCGAGAGAGGUAAGUGGAACUGCGAGUGUAGAGGUGAAAUUCGUAGAUAUUCGCAAGAACACCAGUGGCGAAGGCGGCUUACUGGCUCGAAACUGACGCUGAGGCGCGAAAGCGUGGGGAGCAAACAGGAUUAGAUACCCGCGUAGUCCCUGUCUCUUAUAC